UACGUAGGGUCCGAGCGUUGUCCGGAAUUACUGGGCGUAAAGAGCUCGUAGGUGGUUUGUCGCGUUGUUCGUGAAAACUCACAGCUUAACUGUGGGCGUGCGGGCGAUACGGGCAGACUAGAGUACUGCAGGGGAGACUGGAAUUCCUGGUGUAGCGGUGGAAUGCGCAGAUAUCAGGAGGAACACCGGUGGCGAAGGCGGGUCUCUGGGCAGUAACUGACGCUGAGGAGCGAAAAGCGUGGGGAGCGAACAGG
rnacentral:rRNA from 1 species